rnacentral:rRNA from 1 species
AGAGUUUGAUCAUGGCUCAGAAUCAACGCUGGCGGCGUGCCUAACACAUGCAAGUCGAACGCGAUUACCCCGCAAGGGGUGAUUGAGUGGCAAACGGGUGAGUAACGCGUGGGUGACCUACCUCUGAGUGGGGGAUAACGUUUCGAAAGGAACGCUAAUACCGCAUGACAUCCUGUUUUUGGACAGGCGGAGAUCAAAGCCGGGGAUCGCAAGACCUGGCGCUUGGAGAGGGGCCCGCGUCCGAUUAGCUAGUUGGUGAGGUAAUGGCUCACCAAGGCGACGAUCGGUAUCCGGCCUGAGAGGGCGGACGGACACACUGGGACUGAGACACGGCCCAGACUCCUACGGGAGGCAGCAGUGGGGAAUUGUUCGCAAUGGGCGCAAGCCUGACGACGCAACGCCGCGUGGAGGAUGAAGGUCUUCGGAUUGUAAACUCCUGUUGAUCGGGACGAACAUUCAUCGGGCUAAUACCCCGGAGAACUGACGGUACCGAUUGAGGAAGCCCCGGCUAACUCUGUGCCAGCAGCCGCGGUAAUACAGAGGGGGCAAGCGUUGUUCGGAAUUACUGGGCGUAAAGGGCGCGUAGGCGGCCGCCUAAGUCAGACGUGAAAUCCCUCGGCUCAACCGGGGAACUGCGUCUGAUACUGGGUGGCUUGAAUUCGGGAGAGGGAUGCGGAAUUCCAGGUGUAGCGGUGAAAUGCGUAGAUAUCUGGAGGAACACCGGUGGCGAAGGCGGCAUCCUGGACCGACAUUGACGCUGAGGCGCGAAAGCCAGGGGAGCAAACGGGAUUAGAUACCCUAGUAGUCC